rnacentral:rRNA from 1 species
UACGAAGGGGGCUAGCGUUGUUCGGAUUUACUGGGCGUAAAGCGCACGUAGGCGGAUUGUUAAGUCGGGGGUGAAAUCCUGGAGCUCAACUCCAGAACUGCCUUUGAUACUGAAGAUCUUGAGUUCGGGAGAGGUGAGUGGAACUGCGAGUGUAGAGGUGAAAUUCGUAGAUAUUCGCAAGAACACCAGUGGCGAAGGCGGCUUACUGGUCCGGUUCUGACGCUGAGGCGCGAAGCGUGGGAGCAACAGG